rnacentral:lncRNA from 1 species
AAUGACAAAAAAAAAAAUGACAAAUUGAUUAUAUAUUUUUUUAUGCGCACAUAUAUAUCAUGGGUACUAUAUAUAUACUUUCUUUUUUUGUUAUUUUUUUUAGGACUCUGAAAACGAAAUAAUUAACGAAUUAGUUCAUCAUCCUUUCCAAAUAGACAUCGUUAUAAAAAGAAGAAAUUUGUAACACAUAAGCUGAGUUUGUUUGCGUAUACAUCUAUAAGCAGUGUGUGUUUAUUUUUUUUUUUCUUUUUUUUUGUAUACACUCUUUGGCAAAUCAAAAAAAUUUUAUAUAAACACAAAAAAAAAAAAAAAAAAAAAAAAAAAAAAAAAAAAAAAAAAAAAAAUAGGUAACAAAAAAAAAAAAAAAACACGCUAAAAAAUGCAUUUGAAAAUAGGAUAAAAAAUGCGUUUGAAAAUUGGCUAAAAAAUGCUUUUAAAAAUAAGAUAAAAAAAAAGGCUUUUGAAAAUACGCUAAAAAUUGCGUUUUUUUUUAUAUCUAUGCCAUAUUUACAUGCUGAUGUAUUUACAUGCUGAUGUAUUUUUUUUUAAUAAUAUAUUCCUCAUGCUGUGUUUGAAGAUUUAGCCAUUCUUGUGUCUUUACAACAAAUUGUAAUAAGCUAAGACACUUAUUUUUGUUUUUUUUUCUUAACUUUUUAUGUUUUAUAUCAAUGUUAGUUAUUUAUUUUUUUUUUUUUUUUUUUUUUUUUUAUCAUUACCUAGGUCAUCAUCACCACCACCAACACCACCACCAUCACCACCACCAACACCAUCACCAACACCACCACCAACACCACCACCAACACCAACACCAACACCAUCACCAACACCACCAUCAUUGUUUUGUUCCGUUGUUUGUACCAAAUUAUUAUAUUUUCGUUUGUUUCGGUUGAUGGUUGUAUUAAUAUUGUUAUUGUUUAUAUUUUCACUAUUUAUAUGUUUAUUUUGCUCACUUUUUUUUUUGUUAUAUAUAUUCUCACCUUUUUCUACUUUCCCAUCAUCACUUACACUAUCCUCCUCAUCUUCACUCAUAUAAGUAAAUUGUUCACAUUUCGGAUUAGCUAUAUACAUAUUGUUUAAGAUUGUAAAAUAUGUUUCUCCAAAAUAUUUUUUAUCAUAAUUCAUAAAAUACUCUAAUUCUUUAUCACUUCUACUCAUAAAAUGAUUUACAGAUAUUGGAUUUGUUGGUUCAGUAGUUACAUAAUUAUCCAUAUUUUGUUUUUUUUGUAAAAUAUAUUUUAAUUUGUUUUGUCUAUCUUCAUCGUUAUGCAUUUUGUUGAAUAAUCCUGCUUGAAUUACUUUAUCGUUCAUACUUAAUUUUUCUUGUGCUCUCUUAAAAAUAAAAUUUUCAACACCCGAUAAGGUUAUAAACCG